UACGUAGGGGGCUAGCGUUGUCCGGAUUUAUUGGGCGUAAAGAGCGUGUAGGCGGCCAUGUAGGUCCGGUGUGAAAACUCGAGGCUUAACCUCGAGAUGUCAUCGGAAACCAUUUGGCUAGAGUCCGGAAGAGGAGAGUGGAAUUCCUGGUGUAGCGGUGAAAUGCGCAGAUAUCAGGAAGAACACCAAUGGCGAAAGCAGCUCUCUGGGACGGUACUGACGGCUGAGACGCGAAAGCGUGGGGGAGCGAACAGG
rnacentral:rRNA from 1 species